rnacentral:rRNA from 1 species
UUUUACAAUGAAGAGUUUGAUCCUGGCUCAGGAUGAACGCUAGCUACAGGCCUAACACAUGCAAGUCGAGGGGCAGCAUGGGCUUAGCUUGCUAAGCCUGAUG